CCCUGAUUUUUUUUUGCUUUUUUUCCGCUGGUCUGUUUCCAUCUCUUUCUCUGAUCAUUUUCUUUGUGUUUUUGUGCUUAGUUUGAUGUCCGAUUUCAUGGGUUUUGCUCAACCUGGGUUUGGUCUUUUUUAACUAUCAUGAACAGUGAAUAUGAUUUCGACAUUCAGUAUUAGGAAUUUCAGAUAGUUUGCUAUGUGAUUUUGUUGAAUUAGCUUGUGGGUCUUUCAUUGCAGGUUCCAAAUAAUUAUACAACUUUGAUUGCUGGUAACUGGUAACAUUGAGAAAUGCAUUUGAAUUGAAAGGUCUCAAAAUUCACCUGCAGUUGAGAUGCUGAAAGAGGUGUGCGAUUGGAGAAUGUGAUGUUGACCGCAAUUUCUAUAUACAUGUGCUAAAAGUCUGUAGUCAUCAGUGAUAGCUUUGUGAUUUAUUUACCAAAUUCGAAGUACACAAACGCAGUAAGAUGAAUUGAAAUUUGGUAACCAUUGAGGAAAUAAUUUGAAUAGAAAGUUCAAAAUUCACCUGUAGGUGAUAAGCUGAAGGGGUCAGUUUGUCCCUUGAAAUUCUCGAUUAGUAAGAUACUGGCAUACAUUGUAGAUCAGCAUGCUGAAAAAUCGAUGAAGCUGCCCAAACAUAUCUUUUACUAUUUUGUCUGUGAACAUUUUGCAGUUCAAGGAAUGAGUUUGAAUUGGAAGACCCCAAAGAUUAAGCUGAAGUUGACAACAUGACAUGCUUGCAGGACCUGAAUGAUGAUGUUAAUCGAGACAUUUGUUACUUGCACUCGGGAUGGUCAUAUUCAUGUUUGGAAGAAGCAAACAAAGCGUAGCAAUCAAAAGCGUAAACUGUAGCUGUUCGUGAAUGAGGUGAAAUUAUUUGAAGACGGCUUAUUGCGUUUGAAUUGAAUCGACAAUUCUAAAGUGUUUCUAUUAGUGCAUUGUUCUGGAGAUUUGGAGCUUCAAAGAAGACUAAAGAAGCAUCUGAGUGAGUUCAUUAUCCAAGAAUGGAAGAACCAAAUGUGUCAUAGACAAAGAGACUAGGCCGUCUAUGCUUGGUCUCAAAUCUUUCUCCUCCGUUACUUGUGAAAUUAAAACAAUAUACAAAUUUAUGAGCAUGUAAAAAUGAGUAGAUCCCUGAAUACAAUUGCUGAAAAUCUUCCUAAAAUGGUCAUUUUUGUCUAAUUUUUUAAGUGGAGAGUUGAGUUGGCGGUGAAGCGUAAUACAACUUGACCAAUUAUCAACAUUUCAAACUUGAAGUAGUAAUCUAACCCAAUCUAUUUAUUGUAGGUUAAUAUACAACAAUGAAAAUUUUGUCCUCGAGAAUUUUUCAUUAGCUGAGUUGGGAUAUAAAUUCUCUGUCUAGGUUUGGAUCCAUUCAUCAACUCAAGAGAGUUGAGACACAUCAACGGCUCAUGUCUGAAUAUAAAGUUCCCGCUCUUCAACCACAUCCACAAGCCCAUAUGGCUUUGAGUCUCAGCUUGCCGACACGUAAAGACCUUAUAAAGAUGAGAUAGGCUAGUCAGUGAUUCAGUUGGGAACCAACUAAAUAUCCCACACCAUCCGAUAAAAUUGGAAUGAUACA